UGCUGGGAUAGUGGGAAGAAGCUGGUAGCUGCUACCAGGAAGAAAAUCACAUGCAAAGACAGAAAACCAGAUCUAAGCUGGAACUAGCAGCAAGAGAAGUAGUUUUGUUGGAGCCGUGACUGAAAGCUGAAACAUUAGAGACUCCUCAGAACCUUUGAUAGCAGUCCAUGAACUCAUAGGAACCUGCAGGAACUGGAUAACACUUUGGACUGGAUAGCAGCAAUUUCUAACCUGAAUUACUUACCCAUGCUAACGAAGAUGGAAAUGAGCUUUCACAUCCAACUCUUACAGGGUUCUCCUGAUGUUGUUUAAAAUGGAUUUAAAUUUUAUCACCGAUGGCAGGAAAUUACCCAGCUCAUAACUAGGAUGGAAUAAACCUACCUACUCCAGCUUUCUCUGCCUAAAAAAGUCAUCAUUGUCUAGCGGCUGUGGUGACCUCAGAGACAUGAAUCAAGUUUGCCAGGAUAUGGAGAGAUCUGCAAGGAAACCCAUUUGCAGAAUUGCCUAAAGCAUCCCAGAUACUGUACAUUAAAGUAUGGCAAAUUAAUUCAAUCCUACCUCCUUCCACUCGGGUUGAGCUGCCUGAUUUGCACAUAAAAACAGUGUAAAACUUUGGACAAAGAGCAGAAACACUGUGGCUGAUGUAGUGGUUCAGAGAUAUAAUAGAAGUGAGGCUUAAAGGGAGGACGAGUCUUUCAAAGAGCCAAGAUUCCAGCCUAAAACUCCAAUCAAACCUUCAAAAAAAAUCAGCAGACUAUGAAGCAUGAACAUGAAACAUGAAUAUUGUUCCUAUUACUGAAUGAAUAUACUAAUUUUCAAAGUGCAUAUGCCUGAAUGUAUUUACUUUAGAGGCAAGCUUUCAAAAACUCCUUGCGUAUACAGCUUGAUUCCAGCAUUAAUACAAUUUGCAAUGAGCUAGCUAAUGAGCUUCUGGUUUUGAACAACUUGACUCUAUUUAUGAAAGAUUAGACCCACUGAGAAUCACAUUAUUCCUUUUUCAUAAAGUAUUUGAAUCUAGCUGCUGUAAGGUUGCAAAAUACUGCAGAACAGUCAGAUUCAGAGAUUAUUUAAUCAGUAAUAAAAUGUCAUUGUAGGCAGCAUAGCAGUACUUCCUAAAUCCCCCGAUGCAUGGUCGGCUUAUUUCAUUAGAAUCUGUGCUGGCUGUUCUCCAAAGAUGCAGAACUAAUGCUAUCUGCAAUUAUCGGAUUUUGUUAAGCACAGAGCAUUUGACAGUUACAGUGUUAAUGAAUGAAGAAUAGCUAAGCAAGUCUCUAAUCCAUUGCUCAUUGUUUUAAAAAAAAAAAAAAAAUUAGAGCCCAAGCCUGCCAUACUCAGUUAUAAUAUGACUCAAAUCAGCAGAAUAAAUAGCUCUGCACCUUUUCUCCCUGUGAGGGAAAUGUAAUGCAUUGCUUGCCAUUUUGCAAAUAAGAGGCUUUUUACUGAGAAAUCCUUUGCUGAGAAAUAAGUAAGAUGUAAAGUUUUCUAACAAGUAGGGGUGUGAUAUCUACCUAUCAUGGCCAUAUUCCUGCCUGUUGCAAAAAUAAUCUCUCGAUAGGAAAAGGAGGAAAUAAUCUAGUCUGCCACUAGAAAUAUCAGUGCCUUUUAAUUAGCCCUUAGCAAGUGAGUUAUCACGGUGUGUAUUGCACUGUGUUGAUAAAGCUGUGAGGGGAAAUGACUGCAGCUAAUGACUAGCUCUGAGUUCAGAAUUGCAGAGUGUUUCAUGAAGCUUCUGGAUGUUGGCACUUUCCAAGAGUGAUGGAGAUGUGGGUCCCCUGGCAGAGAAAAAGGCAAUACUUCUUGGGAACUAACAUAAAGCAGCAGAACCUGAAAAAGUCAGCCAUUCACUGGAAGGGGCCAGAUGGAAUGGGUCCUGUGGAAAGAUGAUAUGUGCCAUCUGUUGGGACCCCACUGCUGGAACAUUCUCAGAAUAUGAAUCUCUUCAACUCUUGCUCUCAACACGAUGGAGAAUAAAGUCACUCAGCUUGGCCACCCAGUACUGAAAGGCAGUGACAGCGUAUUCUCUUCCUUUCGUUCUGUGAUGAGAGACGCUGUCAUGCUGAUAAUGCAUCCAACCAGCAACCAGGAUUAGUGUUUUAUGAUGCUACUGGAAAACUAAUGUGUAACUGAUGCUUUGCCUUGGCACCAAACGGGAGAGGAGGAGCCCAGCCGCCCGGGGACAUCCGUAUCUCCAUGGUGCCACCUUCUGACUGGCAUGCGGGAGAGCCGGCUCCAGGGCUGGAGUAUCCCUGCCAGGAAAGGGGAUCGGCCCCUUGAGAGCACAUCGGCCUGAGGCUGGAGACAUGUGGGUGUGAGGGUCGAAAAGGGAGCCCUUGGGAGCACGACCUGGCGUGUAUGCAGUGUUCUGUGCUGCACACAGAACAACCUGGGGGUCUUCCAGCCUACUGGGCUCUAAGGCUCACUGCAUAAGUGCUGGUUGUCAGGUUUAGGUCAUGUUUGAAUUACCAGAAAUGAAAGAACUACCUGGGAAGUGAAUAUUUUAAAAUAUUUUAAAUUUUAUUUCACAGGAAAAAAAAAGCCCACCUAUGUUCACAUCAGUUCCAGGUUAAUUUACAGUAUGAUGACAGCAAGACUAUUAGACUAAAAUAUGACUAAUAGUCUUAUUUUCCAUGGAUGGAGAAAUGGUAGAGUUGAUAUUGAGGACUUUCUCUGUGACUUAUCACAGCUCCCAAGCACCUUAUACAGAGAUGAGAGCAAAUACAUAUCACUCUUUCAUCAAUAUGAAACGUAGGUCUUGACUUAAUUUCUUUGUCCCUUUCUCUUUUUAUUUCCAUUUAUUUAACCUUAUGUAUAAGUCCACAGGAGACUGCAGACCUGGGAUGAAUAUUACACACUGACUCAAAUCCUUCCUUGGUACUUGAGUCCUAGGAAGGGAAAUACCACAAAUACCUACUGAGGCAGGUAUUGGAAACUAGGAGAAUCUAUUCAUUUUUCUUACGUGCUGGAGUGGUCCUCUAUGUACCUGACCAAAGGGGACUCAGAAAUAGGGCCCUACCCAUUAAUGGGCUCUCCUGCUUAUGGUUGACUCAAAACUUAAAGGCAGCCAUGCUGAAGAUGCAUAUGGAAAAUAUAAUCCAUCUCAGUCUACCUUGACUUCUAAUACUCCUCAAAAUGUUAGAGUUACUGGACUAACUUUAGGGAAAAUCAUUAGAGUAUUAUACCUCUAGCACUUCUAAAUGUUUUGCUGAGAAGCUUAAAAAUAAUUAAAAGUAUAAAAAUGAGCAGAUAUGUCCAUAAGAUAAUGUGGAGAAAAGAAUCUGAUGGAAGAGUUACUCUUCAGAGAAACUGUUCCUCUUCAUGGUAGGGGUCUCUCAACUCUUCUGAAAUGAAUUAAAGAAUAUUUGAAUUACAAAGCUGAAUGAAUUAAAGAAAAAUUCCUCAUAUUGUAUGCUGUAAAAGAUAAUUUUCCUCUGACCUUUCUCUUAUAAGGUUUAGUUACAAAUGGCUUGCUUUGAGAAGUUGAUACCUGAUACUCUAGAUGUCAAUUGUUUUGUUUUGUUCUGACGUUUCAAAUAAUUGUGUAUUGUUGCCCAUUCUAAGGGCGUAAUGCUUACAAGGCACAAGGCUUGAAGAAACCAGGGAGCUUGAGCUCUAUGUUCCAACAAAAUAGUGCUGCAGGGAGAGUAGCCUAGCAGUAAGCAGCCCUGGCAAAUUUUAGAAAAUUAAAACUAUUCAAGAGGCUUUUCUUUUUGUUCGUUUGCCUAGUUUGAAAAUGAUAUUCUCAGUGGAGAUAUCUGGAACACUGCCUGUUUGCAUCUACAUGAAGCAAAAAUUCUGUCAUAUUAUUUCAACAGAGUUGAAUCUGAUUGAACAGGAAAGGUACUCUUUGGUAUAUGGCUUAAUCAAAUAUAUUUGGUUUUUGUGGCUGUGGCUAUAUUGUCUUCCCCUCUUUAGAGAGCUGUCCAAAGGGGCAGCUGCCAUUUUGGGAGCAUUGCAGCACAUUAUUGUGGAGCAAAUAAAGAAUAUAUUUUCUAUCAUACGGCACUGUGGGGUUUUUUGUUGUUUUCUCUAGGUCACUUGCUACCUUUGCUCAGUAAUAGAUCAGUGAAAGUACAUGAAGAGGGUGCAUAGCAAAACAUUCCAGUACAGGUUUACUUAUACAAGGUUUCUUUGUCCUACAGUCAGUCUGUAAAGAAAGAGAAAAUGGCUUAUUAUGAAGCUAACUAGAGAUGAUUUUGUGGUUCCCAAAAAUAUGAUUUUUACAAUGUGUGGUUUUUUCUUGAAGAGAGUGCCAAGAUCUUCAGUAAAAAUACAUUUGUAAGCUUCUCUUAAAGAAUAAGUUAAGAAAUCAACCCAGAAAUAUCCUUGUUUCUGUUCAGAAACUUGCUGAGUUUUCCAGGUCACAGAAGACUAUUUCCUGUCAGAACAAGAAGAGAGCUAAACCACUGAUUUGUUUAUGGGUGAAUAAAAAUACUAUGGCUGUAAAGUGCUUUGCUUGUGGGGAGGGGGAGAAUGGGAAAAGUCCAGAAGUUGCUGGGGAUUUUUUCUCCUUCUAAAAUUAAAUAAUGUUAUUUAUGUGCUUGUUUCACCAGCAAGUGACUGCCCUUAGUACACCUUCAGGUUUUGGAAUAAAAUCCUGCUUUAAUCAGUGUUACCUGUCCACUGUAACAAAGCCUGGACUGAAUCAAGUGGAGACCAGAAGCAAUUCUUUAUAACCAGACUUAGACUUCAUUUGCUGAGGCCUGAUCUCUCCCUUUGACUGCCAUAAGCAGGUAAAACAUAAAAUCUUGAGCUUCAGAUUCUUUCACAUGCAGAUUAUGGGACAGUUGUCAUCUUUGGGAUUUGCAGAGGGCUCCUAGGAAAGAUAGUGCUGUGGUUUUAGGAAGCUGUGUUUCCGGGUUUUAAGAAGCUUCAUAGUUUUAAUCUCUUGAUGGAGGGACGGUAGAAAUCAGCUGACUGUAUGGAUAUUCCUGGAACCAUUCCUUUCCCCAUCACAUAUAGGAUACUGGUUUAGUUGUGUGUGGGCACUAUAUUUUGGAAGGACUAGACCUACUUGAUAAUAUGUCCCUAUAAACAUCAAAGUAAAAUAUACUGGUCCUAAAUAGGACAUUGAUAUAGCAACUGUAAUCUGAAAUAAAAUAUCAGUCUGAGUCAGUUUGUGAGGUUUUGUGUAUGGAUUUAAAAGAAAGAAAAAAGCUGAGAUCCAGGAAUGAUUAAUGGAAGUUAAUCCAGAAAUGUUGCCUUGCAGCAUUCUAAGCAAGAACAGAGGACUGAUUCAGCCUCUGCAGUUUUGUAUGCAAAUUGCUCUUGCAAAGGAAGGGAGAUGGCUUCUGACAACUUGACUCUAGCAGUGCUGCAAGGCCCCUAGAACGGUCCUAUUUUCUAUUUUCUCCAGUUCCUUAUAUUCCUUGAGGUGUUGAUAAUGAAAGACUCCUGCCCAAACUGAAUGCAGCUCAUGUUGACAGAGACAGCAAAUACACAUGGUAGCUUUCAUAUUUCUCUGUCAAAUCGUUUGACUUUUUUUCAUGCCUUUUCCAUAGGGCAAACUGUGAAACAACAUACAAUUUCUGUCACCUCCUUGAGGUUUCAGCAGUGGGGUUACAAAAGAUGUGCAGGUCUCCAGAAAAACAUUCAGAAAAUGGUGUUUGAAUGAUCUUUGAACUCUUUUUAAGAUUCAAAGGAACUGCCUCACUUUCUCUGUAACCUCAGUAAUUGCUGAUUAAAAAAAAAAAAAGCAGAUUUUAGAAAGAAAUCAUGCAAUCUAGAAACAUACUUUCCAUCUGUGUAUUGCGGCUGAAAUCCAAAAUAGGCCAGCUGGUCAUAGCACAGCUCACAUAUUCACAGUAUCUGUCCUCUGAAUAAGUCAUUUCAUCAUAAACAGUGGAAAGCAAAAAGCAGAGUCUUAGCUUCUCUGAUUUUUCUUCCCCCUCUAUUUGACACUCAGAGGACUGGCAGAUACUAAAAGAUUCUUCUCUGAUGUUAAAUUUGAUAUCGUCAUUGCAUUUUAUUUGCUGCUCAAAUAUGUCUUUUUAAAACUGUGUGAUCCAGGAUGUGGAGUGGAAUGUUUGUUGUGGCAAAUGCCUCUCUUCAUUGGAGCAGUUUGGUCUGGCAGUGCUCCCAGUUGCUGUAGAUUUAGCAAGUAAGUUGUGCACAAACCCUUGAUUUUUGUUCUUGCUUUUUGUGGCACUCUAUAUCUUAAGAACUCCUGCAGUUUUUGGAACUAGAAAGUAGUGUCUUUCAGUAUCUACAUUUUAUAUCUAAUCAACAGGGACUGAUCCUAGCAAACUAGAAAUUCCUCUUUAAGUAAUGGGAAAUCUCUCCUUUAUUUCCCUCUACAUUAUUGAUUUUGCUAUGGAGAGCACACUCUGUGCUCAGGGGUUGCAACCUUCCCUGUUCCUUCCCUGGGCUGGAAUGUUUUGAACCAGCGCUGGUCACUCUGUGCUAAAACAUUUUAGAUAAAAAAAUAGAGAUGAUGUGUCAGGUGGGGGAGGAAGGAUGAAAGGUAAAGCUGUGGUAGUAGUAGUACUGCAGGAUCAUGAAAUGGAAGUUAGUCACUGCAGUUUUCUGAAGUGAUCUAAAUCAGUUUUGACCAGACACAAUGGAUAGGGAAUCAGUGACCAAGCUCUAUCUGAAACAUAACCAGUGAAGGAAAAUUACACCUGAACUUACAGUCUGGUGCUUUCCUAUUUUUUCUGAUUUUCCAUUCUUCAAGUAUGAAUAGACAGGACAGACUGUGUUUAAAGUGCUUUCUCUACCUAAUGGCCAAACUUUUGGCUACUUCUGUGACAAAAAGCAUGAAGCUGCAGUCUACAGCAAAUGGAUAUUAGGCUGGGAGUGGGAAAGAAUGCCUACUUUCACAAAAGUAAUCAAAACCCUUACUGCAUGUAUAGUGCAGUUUCCAUGCAUCCAUAUUAUACCUCCAUGCCUAAAUAACUACAAGCACAGCCUUACCCUGGGCUCUUAGAAGAAUACUAUUAUGCUUUGUAAUUGCAGCUGUGUGUUAAUAGGAUUCCUUCUCCU